rnacentral:rRNA from 1 species
CCUACGUGAGGCUGCAGUGGGGAAUAUUGGGCAAUGGGCGCAAGCCUGACCCAGCAACGCCGCGUGAAGGAAGAAGGCUUUCGGGUUGUAAAGUUCUUUUCUGAGGGACGAAGAAAGUGACGGUACCUUAGGAAUAAGCCACGGCUAACUACGUGCCAGCAGCCGCGGUAAUACGUAGGUGGCAAGCGUUAUCCGGAUUUAUUGGGAGUAAAGGGAGUGUAGGCGGGAAAGCAAGUCUGAUGUGAAACCUCAGGGCUCAACCCUGAGCCUGCAUUUGAAACGGUGUUGCUUGAGUGCUGGAGAGGCAAGUGGAAUUCCGGGUGUAGCGGUGAAAUGCGUAGAUAUAAGGAGGAACACCAGUGGCGAAGGCGGAUUGCUGGACAGUAACUGACGCGGAGGCGCGAAAGCGUGGGGAGCAAACAGGAUUAGAUACCCGAGUAGUC